UAGGGAAUCUUCGGCAAUGGACGAAAGUCUGACCGAGCAACGCCGCGUGAGUGAAGAAGGUUUUCGGAUCGUAAAACUCUGUUGUUAGAGAAGAACAAGGACGUUAGUAACUGAACGUCCCCUGACGGUAUCUAACCAGAAAGCCACGGCUAACUACGUGCCAGCAGCCGCGGUAAUACGUAGGUGGCAAGCGUUGUCCGGAUUUAUUGGGCGUAAAGCGAGCGCAGGCGGUUUCUUAAGUCUGAUGUGAAAGCCCCCGGCUCAACCGGGGGGGGUCAUUGGAAACUGGGAGACUUGAGUGCAGAAGAGGAGAGUGGAAUUCCAUGUGUAGCGGUGAAAAGCGUAGAUAUAUGGAGGAACACCAGUGGCGAAGGCGGCUCUCUGGUCUGUAACUGACGCUGAGGCUCGAAAGCGUGGGGGGCAAACAGG
rnacentral:rRNA from 1 species